GAUGAACGCUGGCGGCGUGCCUAAUACAUGCAAGUCGAGCGAACAGACGAGGAGCUUGCUCCUCUGACGUUAGCGGCGGACGGGUGAGUAACACGUGGAUAACCUACCUAUAAGACUGGGAUAACUUCGGGAAACCGGAGCUAAUACCGGAUAAUAUAUUGAACCACAUGGUUCAAUAGUGAAAGACGGUUUUGCUGCCACUUAUAGAUGGAUCCGCGCCGCAUUAGCUAGUUGGUAAGGUAACGGCUUACCAAGGCGACGAUGCGUAGCCGACCUGAGAGGGUGAUCGGCCACACUGGAACUGAGACACGGUCCAGACUCCUACGGGAGGCAGCAGUAGGGAAUCUUCCGCAAUGGGCGAAAGCCUGACGGAGCAACGCCGCGUGAGUGAUGAAGGUCUUCGGAUCGUAAAACUCUGUUAUUAGGGAAGAACAAAUGUGUAAGUAACUAUGCACGUCUUGACGGUACCUAAUCAGAAAGCCACGGCUAACUACGUG
rnacentral:rRNA from 1 species